UUGAGCGGAAAUCUGACCCCCGUGUGAUUGUGUGCUUCAGUGCUGGCGCCGUCGUUGGCCACAGCCGACCAGCUGUUGAGUGAGAGGCCACAGCUGGAGUCUGCAGCAGGCCCCGCUGGCGCUGCGUAUCUGUGUCGCUGGAGUUUGGGAAUCGUCUGAUUCUGACGAGACGGACGAGCGAAGCAGAAGAUUGGUUCCUCUGACGUUGCACCACUGAUGAAGGAUCCACAGAGUAUGCAACGACAGUUGCAGCUUCGGAUCCUUCCGGUCGUCCACGACUUCCCCUUGCUUCGU